rnacentral:tRNA from 1 species
GCCCGGGUGAUGGAAUUGGUAGACAUACAGGACUUAAAAUCCUGGGACCGCAAGGUCGUGCGAGUUCAAGUCUCGCUCCGGGCA